rnacentral:rRNA from 1 species
CUGCUGCCUCCCGUAGGAGUCUGGUCCGUGUCUCAGUACCAGUGUGGGGGACCUUCCUCUCAGAGCCCCUAGACAUCGUCGCCUUGGUGGGCCGUUACCCCGCCAACAAGCUAAUGUCACGCAUGCCCAUCCGUCUCCGGAGUUGCCUCCUUUGGCCGAAAGAAGAUGCCUCCCCUCGGCCACAUGCGGUAUUAGGCCGGAUUUCUCCGGGUUAUCCCGCUGAAACGGGCAGGUUGCAUACGCGUUACUCACCCGUGCGCCGGUCG